AGUGAACGCUGGCGGUAGGCCUAACGCAUGCAAGUCGAACGGCAGCACAGUAAGAGCUUGCUCUUACGGGUGGCGAGUGGCGGACGGGUGAGGAAUACAUCGAAAUCUACUUUUUCGUGGGGGAUAACGUAGGGAAACUUACGCUAAUACCGCAUACGACCUACGGGUGAAAGCAGGGGAUCUUCGGACCUUGCGCGAUUGAAUGAGCCGAUGUCGGAUUAGCUAGUUGGCGGGGUAAAGGCCCACCAAGGCGACGAUCCGUAGCUGGUCUGAGAGGAUGAUCAGCCACACUGGAACUGAGACACGGUCCAGACUCCUACGGGAGGCAGCAGUGGGGAAUAUUGGACAAUGGGCGCAAGCCUGAUCCAGCCAUACCGCGUGGGUGAAGAAGGCCUUCGGGUUGUAAAGCCCUUUUGUUGGGAAAGAAAAGCAGCAGGUUAAUACCCCGCUGUUCUGACGGUACCCAAAGAAUAAGCACCGGCUAACUUCGUG
rnacentral:rRNA from 1 species